AUUGAACGCUGGCGGCAGGCCUAACACAUGCAAGUCGAGCGGAGCGGCGGACGGGUGAGUAAUGCCUAGGAAUCUGCCUGGUUGUGGUGGAUACCGUCCGGAACCGGGCGCUAAUCCCGCAUACUAUCACAUGAAUCUCGGUCGGGUUAGCUAGUGGGUGGGGUAAAGGCCUACCAAGGCGACGAUCCGUCACUGGUCUGAGAGGAUGAUCAGUCACACUGGAACUGAGACACGGCCCAGACUCCUACGGGAGGCAGCAGUGGGGAAUAUUGGACAAUGGGCGAAAGCCUGAUCCAGCCAUGCCGCGUGUGUGAAGAAGGUCUUCGGAUUGUAAAGCACUUUAAGUUGGGAGGCGUUACCAACAGAAUAAGCACCGGCUAACUUCGUGCCAGCAGCCGCGGUAAUAC
rnacentral:rRNA from 1 species